rnacentral:rRNA from 1 species
GGUUGAUCCUGCCAGUAGUCAUAUGCUUGUCUUAAAGAUUAAGCCAUGCAUGUCUAAGUAUAAGCAUUUAUACCGCGAGAGUGCGAACGGCUCAUUAAAACAGUUAUGGUUUAUUUGAUGGUUCCUUUGCUACUUGGAUAACCGUAGUAAUUCUAGAGAUAAUACAUGCACGAAGGGGCGACUUAAGAAGCCCUGUAUUUAUUAGAUUAAACCCAACCCCCUCCGGGUGUUCGUGGUGAAUCAUAGUAACUAAUCGGAUCGCCGGCUUUACGCCAGCGACGUGUCAUUCAAAUUUCUGCCCUAUCAGCUUUAGAUGGUAGGAUAUGGGCCUACCAUGGCGGUGACGGGUAACGGAAAUUUGGGUUUGAUUCCGGGAGAGGGAGCCUGAGAAACGGCUACCACUUAUAAGGAAGGCAGCAGGCGC